rnacentral:rRNA from 1 species
UACGUAGGGUGCGAGCUUGUCCGGAAUUAUUGGGCGUAAAGAGCUUGUAGGCGGUUUGUCGCGUCUGCUGUGAAAAUCCGGGGCUCAACCCCGGACUUGCAGUGGGUACGGGCAGACUAGAGUGUGGUAGGGGAGACUGGAAUUCCUGGUGUAGCGGUGGAAUGCGCAGAUAUCAGGAGGAACACCGAUGGCGAAGGCAGAUCUCUGGGCCAUUACUGACGCUGAGGAGCGAAAGCAUGGGGAGCGAACAGG